AUGGCUAAUCAUGUGUCAGAGUUGUUGCCAGAGCGGACCUUCCAGUACCAAAGCAGCCUGCCACUCCUGCCUGUCCCAUCGCUAGAGAAUAGCCUUUUAAAGUACCUGAAUGCAGUUCAACUAUUUGCAUCUGAGAAGGAGUUUAAGGCUACAGUGGACACUGUGAAUAAAUUUCAAGAGGGUGUUGGCAAAGAGCUGCAUCAGAAACUACUGCAGAGAGCCAAGACAAAGAAGAACUGGCUGGAAGAAUGGUGGUUAGAUUCUGCAUAUCUGGAGGUCCGCGUCCCCUCUCAGCUGAAUGUGAACUUUGGUGGCCCGGCGCCCUACCUGGAGCACUGCUGGCCUCCUGAAGAGGGAACUCAUCUGCAGAGGGCCAGUAUCAGUACAUGGCAUACGCUGCAGUACUGGAACCUGAUCCGCACGGAGAGGCUGGCUCCUCAGAAAUCUGGCAAAACACCAUUAGAUAUGGACCAGUUCAGAAUGCUGUUCUCCACCUGCAAAGUACCUGGAGUAAAGAAGGACACCAUUCGUAACUACUUCAAAAUGGAGCGUGAGGGUCCUUGCCCCUCCCAUUUGGUAGUGAUGUGUCGCGGACGGUUCUUCACGUUUGAUGCAGUCUGUGAUGGACAAAUCCUCACUCCUCCAGAACUGCUCAGGCAGCUGAGCUACGUGAGUGAGUGCUGUGAGGGAGAGCCGGAGGGAGACGGAGUGAGCGCUCUCACCUCAGAGGAGAGGACUCGUUGGGCGAAGGCCAGGGAGCAUCUAAUAAGCAUUGAUCCACAUAAUAAUACCAUCCUGGAGACCAUCCAAAGCAGCCUGUUCGUUAUAUCUCUGGAUGAAACCAAACCCUACUCCACUCCAGAUAACUACACAAAUGUGACUCUGGAAACCCUUACAGGCAACCCUACCAUCCGCUGGGGUGACAAAUCAUACAAUUCAAUCGUGUUUGCAGAUGGUACUUUUGGAUGCAAUUGUGAUCAUGCACCAUAUGAUGGCAUUAUACUGGUGUCUAUGUGCUGGUAUCUGGACCAGCAAAUUAAAGCUACAGAAGGCAAAUGGAAGGGCUCAGAGGCAGUCAGAUCCAUCCCUCCUCCUGAGGAGCUGGUGUUUACUGUGGACGAAAAAGUCCUCAGUGACAUCAGUCAUGCCAAACAGCAAUACCUGGUGUCGACACAGGACCUGCAGGUUGUGUGUUACGCCUUCACAGCGUUUGGAAAAGCAACCAUCAAACAGAAGAAGCUGCAUCCAGAUACCUUUGUUCAACUAGCAAUGCAGCUGGCCUACUACAGAAUGCACAAAGCGCCAGGAAGUUGUUAUGAGACGGCAACAACUCGCAAGUUCUACCACGGCAGGACAGAGACAAUGCGACCCUGCACCGAGGAGGCUGUGAACUGGUGUACAGCCAUGAUGGACCCCACUUGCAACGUUGAUGAGAGGAGGAAAGCCAUGCUGCUGGCCUUCCAUAAACACAACAAACUGAUGGCUGAAGCCCAGGAAGGAAAAGGUUUUGACAGACAUCUUCUUGGGCUGUAUCUUAUCGCCAGAGAGGAGGGACGUCCCAUUCCAGAGCUCUUUACGGAUCCCCUCUAUGCAAAGAGUGGUGGCGGUGGUAACUUUGUGCUGUCGUCCAGCCUGACGGGCUACACCACAAUUUUGGGGGCAGUGGCUCCCAUGGUGCACCACGGCUAUGGCUUUUUCUACCGGAUCAGAGAUGAAAGGAUUGUGAUUUGCAUCUCAGCAUGGACAUCUUGCCGUGAGACAGAUGCCGCAGCACUAUUCAACUACUUCAGUAGCGCUCUGCAUGAGAUGCUCCACCUGGCCACCACAUCUCAGCUAUAAGUGCCGACAUCAACUAACAGGGUGGCUAAACACAGGCUUAUUUACACUUUUGCCUUUUACUUCUCAGCACAUGUUUGUAUGUUAAUCCGCACACAAUUUACAGAGCCUCAGCUAAUAGCCAGUAGUGAGUGAUAGUAAUGUUUGUUCUCAGGACAGAUCAAUGCAAAUGUACAGAAUUAGUUCUGGUAAGUAAUAUCCACUGGUAUUGGAAUUAUGAAACGUAACCUUUCUCUUUAUGUGGUGCUAAAUAAGACUUAUUUUUUGUUUGUAAAUUGUUCUUGUGUAAUUUUUGUAAGAUUUUAAUUUUUGGGGGCAUUUUUGCUUUUGAUAGUAAUAGUAGAAAGAAACAGGAAGGCCAGGAGAGAGAGAGAGAGAGAGAGAGAGAGAGAGAGAGAGAGAGAGAGAGAGAGAGAGAGAGAGAGAGAGAAUGACAUGCAGUGAACGGUUUGGCCGGACUCAAACCUGGGCCACUGCGGUCAGGACUCUUGUGUUACGCGCUCUAGCAGGAAUGUCCAAGGACGAUGCCAUGUCAGCCUACCUUACACUUGGAAAGGAAAUAAUCACUGAAAAUGUCAUGUAAGUGUUGCAAUGAACUGAAGAGGCUGAAUUAAUGCCAAAAACGACAACAGUCAUAAAAUAAUAAGACUGUCCAAAUAACAAGUAGCCUUCUGCUUUCAGAGGCCAUAAGUAUGCAGGAUAAUAAUUUAUUAUUAUUAUUAUAAUAAUUUAUAAUAAUUUUCUGGAAUUUCUUUUCAUGGUUUGUCUUUUUUAAUUAAUGUAUACAACUGAACAACUUCCAUGCAUCCUCAAGGGUUAAAAAUAUGAAUUUUCUCAUUGCUAUUUUAUCUAAUGUGUAUUUAUUGUUGUAAUCCAUAUGUACACAUCAAUAUACUUUAUACUUGUGCACUUUGACAUGCAGCUUGGUUCCGAUUCAAAACAGGACAAACUAAAUGCUGUCUAAUGUGCACACAUUUUGAAAAUAAAACCUCAUUUUCA